rnacentral:rRNA from 1 species
CGUCACUGUCCCACUUAGGCGGCUGGCUCCAUAAAGGUUACCCCACCGACUUCGGGUGUUACAAACUCUCGUGGUGUGACGGGCGGUGUGUACAAGGCCCGGGAACGUAUUCACCGCGGCAUGCUGAUCCGCGAUUACUAGCGAUUCCAGCUUCAUGUAGGCGAGUUGCAGCCUACAAUCCGAACUGAGAACGGUUUUAUGAGAUUAGCUCCACCUCGCGGUCUUGCAGCUCUUUGUACCGUCCAUUGUANCACGUGUGUAGCCCAGGUCAUAAGGGGCAUGAUGAUUUGACGUCAUCCCCACCUUCCUCCGGUUUGUCACCGGCAGUCACCUUAGAGUGCCCAACUUAAUGAUGGCAACUAAAAUCAAGGGUUGCGCUCGUUGCGGGACUUAACCCAACAUCUCACGACACGAGCUGACGACAACCAUGCACCACCUGUCACUCUGCUCCCGAAAGAAAAGCCCUAUCUCUANGGUUGUCANAAGAUUCAAGAACUGGUAANGUUCUUCCGUUGCUUCCAAUUAAANCACAUGCUCCNCCGCUUGUNCGGGCCCCCUCCAUUCCUUUGAAUUUCACCUUGCNGGCGUUCUCCCCCAGGCGGAAUUGCNUUAAUGCGUUUAACUUCCCCCNCUUAAAGGGGCGGAAANCCCCCUAACCCUUAACCCUCCU